rnacentral:rRNA from 1 species
UUAGUAACUGCGAGUGAAGAGGGAAAAGCUCAAAUUUAAAAUCUGGCAGUGUCUGACUGUCCGAGUUGUAACCUAGAGAAGUGUAACCUGUGYUGGACCGUGUAAAAGUCUCCUGGAAUGGAGCAUCAUAGAGGGUGAGAAUCCCGUCUUUGACAUGGACUACCAGCKCAUUAUGGUGGCGCUCUCAACGAGUCGAGUUGUUUGGGAAUGCAGCUCUAAACGGGUGGUAAAUUCCAUCUAAAGCUAAAUAUUGGCGAGAGACCGAUAGCGAACAAGUACCGUGAGGGAAAGAUGAAAAGAACUUUGGAAAGAGAGUUAAACAGUAUGUGAAAUUGUUGAAAGGGAAACGUUUGAAGUCAGUCGAGUUGGCCAGGGAUCAGUUUGACRUUUGUUGGGCGUAUUUCCUGGUCAAUGGGCCAACAUGAGUUUUGAUCGCCAGAAAAAGUUGAAGGGAAUGUGGCACCUUUUUGGUGUGUUAUAGCCUUUUGUCGUAUAUGGCGGUUGGGACUGAGGAAAGCAGUGCGCCGAAAGGGCAGGGUUUCGACCACGUUCGCACUGAGGAUGUUGGCAUAAUGGCUUUAAGCGACCCGUCUUGAAACACGGACCAAGGAGUCUAACAUGCAUGCGAGUGUUUGAGUGGAAAACUCAUACGCGUAAUGAAAGUGAAAGUUGAGAACCCUGUCAUGGGGAGCAUCGACGCCCGGACCAGAACUUUUGGGACGGAUCUGCGGUAGAGCAAGUAUGUUGGGACCCGAAAGAUGGUGAACUAUGCCUGAAUAGGGUGAAGCCAGAGGAAACUCUGGUGGAGGCUCGUAGCGAUUCUGACGUGCAAAUCGAUCGUCAAAUUUGGGUAUAGGGGCGAAAGACUAAUCG